CCUACGGGAGGCAGCAGUGAGGAAUAUUGGUCAAUGGACGAGAGUCUGAACCAGCCAAGUAGCGUGAAGGAUGACUGCCCUAUGGGUUGUAAACUUCUUUUAUAAAGGAAUAAAACGAGGCACGUGUGCCUUUUUGCAUGUACUUUAUUAAUAAGGAUCGGCUAACUCCGUGCCAGCAGCCGCGGUAAUACGGAGGAUCCGAGCGUGAUCCGGAUUUAUUGGGUUUAAAGGGAGCGUAGAUGGGUUGUUAAGUCAGUUGUGAAAGUUUGCGGCUCAACCGUAAAAUUGCAAUUGAUACUGGCAGUCGUGAGUACAGUUGAGGUAGGCGGAAUUCGUGGUGUAGCGGUGAAAUGCUUAGAUAUCACGAAGAACCCCGAUUGCGAAGGCAGCUUACUAAACUGUGACUGACAUUGAUGCUCGAAAGUGUGGGUAUCAAACAGGAUUAGAUACCCCAGUAGUC
rnacentral:rRNA from 1 species